UCGGAUCUAGUGGCGCACGGGUGAGUAACGCGUGGGAACCUACCUUUUAGUACGGGACAACGUUUGGAAACGAACGCUAAUACCGUAUACGCCCUCCGGGGGAAAGGUCAGCCGCUGAAAGAGGGGCCCGCGUCUGAUUAGCUUGUUGGUAAGGUAAUGGCUUACCAAGGCUACGAUCAGUAGCUGGUCUGAGAGGAUGAUCAGCCACACUGGGACUGAGACACGGCCCAGACUCCUACGGGAGGCAGCAGUGGGGAAUAUUGGACAAUGGAGGCAACUCUGAUCCAGCAAUGCCGCGUGUGUGAUGAAGGCCCUAGGGUUGUAAAGCACUUUCAACGGUGAAGAUGAUGACGGUAGCCGUAGAAGAAGCCCCGGCUAACUUCGUGCCAGCAGCCGCGGUAAUACGAAGGGGGCGAGCGUUAUUCGGAAUUAUUGGGCGUAAAGGGCUCGCAGGCUGCUUGAACAGUUAGACGUGAAAUCCCCGGGCUCAACCUGNGAACUGCGUUUAAUACUAGCAAGCUAGAGAGAUAGAGAGGAAAGUGGAACUCCCAGUGUAGAGGUGAAAUUCGUAGAUAUUGGGAAGAACACCAGUGGCGAAAGCGACUUUCUGGCU
rnacentral:rRNA from 1 species